rnacentral:piRNA from 1 species
UGCCUUAUGCUUCCCUUUCUCUACCUUG